rnacentral:misc_RNA from 1 species
GAUGAAGAACGUAGCGAAAUGCGAUAAGUAAUGUGAAUUGCAGAAUUCAGUGAAUCAUCGAAUCUUUGAACGCACAAUGCGCCCGCCAGUAUUCUGGCGGGCAUGCCUGUUCGAGCGUCAUUUCAACCAUCAAGCCCCAGGCUUGUGUUGGGGACCUGCGGCUGCCGCAGGCCCUGAAAACCAGUGGCGGGCUCGCUAGUCACACCGAGCGUAGUAGCAUACACAUCGCUCAGGGCGUGCUGCGGGUUCCGGCCGUUAAACCCCUUUUUUACCCAAGGUUGACCUCGGAUCAGGUAGGAAGACCCGCUGAACUUAAGCAUAUCAAUAAGCGGAGGA